GUGAAUUUCAUAAUCCUUAUGACAGAAUUUACCACUAAAUUGCUGCUGUUGUUACAGCUGCAGGAAGACUAGGGGCCUUGAUCCAAAACUCAGCACUAAAAAAGAUCUGGGAACUCAAUACUAGAAAUGAUGUGGGAACGUCAGCCCCGCAGAGGAGCCUAAGAGGGAGAAGGAGGACAUCUGUUUACCUCUGCCUGCACCUUUUCUGGAGAGCUGGAAGGACACAGCAGCCAAAGCCACAGGUCAAAGGCAGCACAGCACAUCCAACCAAGGAGGUGCUUUCAUUACACUGCACAUCUUGAAGACACGUCGGUGGGAUCGUUGGCACCCACACAUCCCUGAUCCAGACUGAUCUCUGGGGAGCACAGAGCUGCUGUGCCACAUGUUCAGGAAAGCCAGAUGUCGGCAAUAGUUUUCCAAGAGGGGAAUACCCAAAAAGAGCUUUCAAGACUGCGCCCAAAAGAAAUACCUAAGCACAGAUAUGAUGCUAACUUGAAAAACAAAAAGAAAAGGAAUCCCAUUUGGAGCCAAGCUGAAGCCACACAGGAACAACUCAGCAAUACAUAAUGCAAAGGAUUCCAGUGGAUUUGCAAGCAGGAGGAUGAAAUAAGACAGAAAACAGUAGAGAGAAUUCUGGUAUUUCCAUGGAUAUUGAUCUUUUAUUCAUGCUACUGCUAAUGUUGGUCUCACGUUGAUGGAGAUGCAACAAAGAUAAAACAGAGACCCUGAGUCCUACUCAUGUCCCUACGAUUGUCUCUGUAUUUUAUCCAUCAACAUCUGAAUGCUAAUCACUCAAAAAUCCUGAGAGCGGAGACAGACUCCAAGGGCUUCCCCUCAGAAGGCCUAGAGUCACAGUCUGCCUUGUGCUUUCUGCGAUGCCCCUUCAGCGUCAUGUCCCUUCAUUCAUAGCUGGACAGUGUGAGCCAAAGUGGAGGAGAUGUCUUUUCAGCCACACCUGGUAGAAGAAAUCUGCAACCGUGGCACUUGACACAGAUCCUCUUUGACGUUGAACUGACAAGUUACUUGCAGAGUUUGAAUGGAGCAAAGGGAAAUUUUUCCAGAGGAAGCUACAAAUUUGCAGCAACUGCCAAGGAGGUGUGCAGCCAGUGCAAAGGUGUUACAUCCAGAGGUGCUAAGUACCUGAGCUCCUUCCUGACACCAGUGGGGCAGAAUGCUCUGCAUCUCUCUGAAGCUCUGUGUCUGGACCUCUCUCAGCUGACCCAUGGUUCUUUGUACCUUCUUGCUCCCUGCCUUGGCACCCAGGGCCACAGUUUAUAAAUGCACAGGGUCCAACUCUGCCCCGUCCCCUUGUUGCUGCUGCUGCUGGAACUAUUCACUUUUGGAUGUCUUGCUGAGAGAAGCUUUG
rnacentral:lncRNA from 1 species